rnacentral:rRNA from 1 species
AUUGAACGCUGGCGGCAGGCUUAACACAUGCAAGUCGAGCGGAUGAAGGUAGCUUGCUACUGGAUUCAGCGGCGGACGGGUGAGUAAUGCUUAGGAAUCUGCCUAUUAGCGGGGGACAACGUUCCGAAAGGGGCGCUAAUACCGCAUACGUCCUACGGGAGAAAGCAGGGGACCUUCGGGCCUUGCGCUAAUAGAUGAGCCUAAGUCGGAUUAGCUAGUUGGUAGGGUAAAGGCCUACCAAGGCGACGAUCUGUAGCGGGUCUGAGAGGAUGAUCCGCCACACUGGGACUGAGACACGGCCCAGACUCCUACGGGAGGCAGCAGUGGGGAAUAUUGGACAAUGGGGGGAACCCUGAUCCAGCCAUGCCGCGUGUGUGAAGAAGGCCUUUUGGUUGUAAAGCACUUUAAGCGAGGAGGAGGCUACCUAGAUUAAUACUUUAGGAUAGUGGACGUUACUCGCAGAAUAAGCACCGGCUAACUCUGUGCCAGCCGCCGCCGUAAUAC